rnacentral:lncRNA from 1 species
GUUUGAUGGAAGUAGUAAAUUUUUCUACGUGGUUAGCCAUCCAACCUUUACCUCAAGUUUGUAAAUCAGGUCAAUAUUUUCUCUGUGGGAGGUGAGGGCACAAUUUUCUGCCAUUGUGUGAUGCCUUCUCCUCUGACAUCAUCUCACCACAUGAGGGGAAAGUUGGCUUAAAAAGAUGAAACAGUUUAUUAAAUGUAGUCGGUACUCAAGGUCCAUGAGAAUGAUUUUGGAGCAAUUCUGUUUAUUAAUUUGUUUCCUGAAACCCAAGGUGUUGAUUAGUAAGCAAACAUGACAAUAGUAGGAAAAAACAGGGGCUGGCCAUGUGGCUGACUGGUUAAGUUUGAGUGGUCUGCUUCGGUGGCCCAGGGUUUCACCAGUUUGGAUUCUGGGCACAGUCCUAGCACAGCUCAUCAAGCUAUGCUGAGGCAGCAUCCCACAGAGCACAACCAGAAGGACCUACAACUAGAAUACACGGCUGUGUACUGCGGAGCUUUGGGGAGAAGAGGAAAAAGAAAAGAAAAGGAAAAAGAAAGAAAAGAAAAUGGCAACAGAUGUUAGCUCAGGGCCAAUCUUUAAAAAAAAAAAAAAAAAGGAAAAGAAAAACAAGAAAUGAUGCAAAAUGUAAUGCUUCCAGGGCUCUCUCCAGAGACAGUUGUGAGAUAUAAUUAUGCAAAUAUUAAAAUGCAUAUUGUAUUGGGCUCUCUUUCAUUUUAAUCCUCAGGUUAACUUACUUCUGAAUUAGUUUUGUUGUAUAGGUAUUUACAAAUCUGACAAAAAUCCAGACCUUUUACUUAUAGUGGAAUGGUUAUAUGAACUUUAAAAGGGAAUUGCCAAACCUAAAACACCUCGGAAGGUGCUUGAAUAUGUGUUUCCCGCGCCAGAAGACACCUAUUCAGGAAGCACGUCUAGAGAACCGAGGCAGAUGGGAAGAGGGUGACAAUGGUGACCUGCAGACCAUCCUUUCCAACUUUGUCCCAGCAGGGUCCCCUGAAGAUCACCUAAAAUGAUGACGCUCUACUCCACUGAGAUGUUCCAAAGGCCCAGGGUUGUUGCAGAGACUCAUUCACACUACUGCAAAUCCUUCUGGUGGCUACAGGAAGCUCCCCACUGCAUCCCAAAGUGAUUACCCGGUAUUCCACCAACCUAUAUCUUAAAGCAGACAUCCUAAAUAUACUUAGAUUGAUGAAAAUUCAUCUAGCCAUUUUUACGUGAUGUCAAAUGGGUAAAUGGGAACAAUUUUUUUUAUAGACAAAUGGCGAAAUUACUUUUUAAAAAGUAUACUGAACAAUCAUAUGUCCUCUUAAAUUAUCAAAGUUCCCUACCCAGAGAAUAUAUGACUAGUAGAUUAAAUUUUACUUUCCUUUUAUGCUUUAAAUCCAAAUACUAUUACAAUGGUUUGGGAAGUUGACACUUUUUAUAAAAAUGACACAUGAUCAACACUCUCAAUGUAGACCUCGAUUUUGAAUUGUUCAUAAUCUAAUGUAGAGGAACCAGGAGCCAAUAAAGUUCAAAGGGUCCAUUCGUCUGCUGACUGU